rnacentral:rRNA from 1 species
UACAGAGGUCUCAACCGUUGUUCGGAUUCAUUGGGCGUAAAGGGUGCGUAGGCGGUCGCGCAAGUCGGAUGUGAAAUCUCAGGGCUCAACCCUGAAACUGCAUUCGAUACUGCGUGGCUAGAGUGCUGGAGGGGAGACUGGAAUUUACGGUGUAGCAGUGAAAUGCGUAGAUAUCGUAAGGAAGACCAGUGGCGAAGGCGAGUCUCUGGACAGCAACUGACGCUGAGGCACGAAAGCGUGGGGAGCAAACAGG